rnacentral:misc_RNA from 1 species
CGUACAGAUACAUAAAUCUCAUAAAAUCUUAAUGCAAUUAAACCACAUAAGCUAAUUAUUUCCAGUAUCUCCCCAGUACAAAUAGUUCUGACCUUGCUAAAUGUAUUCUGAAGUGUGAUUUUUCAGAGGCAACCUGAUCAUACUGUCGUGAGAUUCUACUGCAUGAAUUAUUUCAGGAAAUAGCUGAAAAUUUUUAAGGGAGGUCAGUGGCUCCAUCUCUGAGCGUUCUUUGCGCCAGUCAACUGUUCUUGCACAUCAAUUAUAUUCCAUACCAGUGCAAAAGACAGCAGUUAGUCAG